GACGAACGCUGGCGGCGUGCCUAAUACAUGCAAGUCGAGCGGACUGAAUGGGAGCUUGCUCUUGUUCGGUCAGCGGCGGACGGGUGAGUAACACGUGGGCAACCUGCCCGCAAGACCGGGAUAACUCCGGGAAACCGGAGCUAAUACCGGAUAACACCGAAGACCGCAUGGUCUUUGGUUGAAAGGCGGCGCAAGCUGCCACUUGCGGAUGGGCCCGCGGCGCAUUAGCUAGUUGGUGAGGUAACGGCUCACCAAGGCGACGAUGCGUAGCCGGCCUGAGAGGGUGACCGGGCACACUGGGACUGAGACACGGCCCAGACUCCUACGGGAGGCAGCAGGAGGGGAUCUUCCGCAAUGGGCGAAAGCCUGACGGAGCGACGCCGCGUGAGCGAAGAAGGCCUUCGGGUCGGAAAGCUCUGUUGUGAGGGACGAAGGAGCGCCGUUUGAAGAAGGCGGCGCGGUGACGGUACCUCACGAGGAAGCCCCGGCUAACUACGUG
rnacentral:rRNA from 1 species